CUUACUAAUAAACCAUCAAUCAUCCAGAAAUAGCAGAAUCAACCUAGCUUGCUUCUAAAUUCCAUAACUAGCAUUCCUAACAAUGUCAAUACAAAAUACAUAAAACAUUCAGCGAGCUCUUAGAUAAUUCUUCUCUCCUCGCCCUGAUUCCACGAUCACACCUUGCUUUUACUUGUAUCACAAAACAAAUGCAUAAGUAUUUCCAGAAAUACUUAGUGAGAUACUCAUCCCAACUACUAGGCUAUACACACAAGCAGUAUCAAUCAUACUUAGGCAAUCACACAACGCAUAUACCCAACAAACAACAAACUCAGCCGCUGAGGACUAGUAUCAAUUGACACCCUCCUGGUGUCGGUCGUCAACAGACACCUCUGAAACCCAAAAUGACGAAUACUGUCGAUCGUCACUCGCCACUAUCCUCGCGACACAGAUUGCAGGUGUCGAACGACACCCACCACUGGUGUCGAUCGACAUCGAAACCCUAACAUCACUCCAGUUGAUUUUUCUCGACGGAUCUCCGUUUCCUUGCAAACUAUGGACGAUAAUGACUCUCCAGAGGAACGUUCAAAGGUGUAACAACCCGUCCAGGUGGGAACUCCUACCACAUGGCACACCCCGCCAAAUGGUAGCCUUACAGCGCUGCAGCGCAUCGACCCUAACCUCUCUCCUGGGGGCCCAAACUGCGCAGCCCAUUUGCUCGCAGCCUCCUGACCCACCAGGUAGGUUAUUGGUGCGCCUGGCGUUCCUCGAACCCAGGUCCUCACCCUUUAACAACCUUCCCACUUUGAAUUUGGAUUAAUACUCAGUGAGUUAUAUGCAGUUUGGUGAGACGCGUUUUCUCUGUUGCGAACUGGGAUCAGCGGAGUUUGUAAGUGCGAUCGUGGAUUGAUCGUUUCUCCGAUCGGCACCAAAUUUUGUAGGGGGCUUCGUGACGUCUGGAUCUUGCUUUUCACCGUAGGGAUUAAGAAGUUAACGGUUAGUUUAUGUUUUAGGGCUUCGUUUUUGCGGCUGUAGUUUUUUUGAUGUUUCUGUCCUUUUGGUUCUUAGAGAUUUGUGUUUGUGUGGUUUGUUGUAGGGCGUUGUUUGGCUGUUGCAGUCACGAAGAGAGUAUUUCCUGGUUGUUUUUGUAACUCAAAUCACCUUGUUAAGGUGAGUGCGUGACCAUGAGCUUAUCUAAGCGAUUGGGAUUGAGUGACUUGUUGUGUGAUGAUUUGUAGGUGAACUGGAUGUGUUAUUGGAUGUUUAGCUUGCUGGAUGGUUUGUUUUUGUUAUAUAUGUGGGUGUUAUCUCAUUGCUUGUGUGUAUAGCUCGUAGAUGGGAGGAUCGCCCUCACUAAGUAUUUAUGAAAUACUUAUGCAUCUCUUUCUUUGAUGCAGGUAAAAGCAAAGUGUGAUCCGUGGAAUCAUGGCGAGGAGAGGAGGAUGAUCUAGGCACUCAUUGGUGUUUUAGAUUAUUGUUGGAUUUGUUAGGGUGUUAGAAUGGAAUUUAGAAACAUGUUAGGAGGAUCAUGUUUUGGAAUAAUGUUUGGUUGAACUUGUUGGUUUAAUAGAAUCGUAUUAUUGGAUUUUUGGUUAAGUCUUCCGCUGGAUAAUAUUGUUGGUUUACUUUAAUGAGAUUGCUUGGUUUAAUUGAUUUAAAUUAUUAUGGCCGGUUUAGCUGGUUCGAAUUAAUUGGGUUAAUCCGGUUUGCAUGUUUAAAAGAAAAAAAUGGGAUGGGUUCUUUCAAUUUGGUAUCAGAGCAUUUACGGUUCUAGGACAAGAUUUAAUUGGUAAAAAUUGUGAUGUGAUGUGUGAAUUUCAUUGAUGAAGAAUGAUGAUGUGAAUUUCAUGCUGAUUGAUUGUGUGUUUAAUCAAUUGUGUGAGCAUGGAGACCUAGAUCAUCCUCUUGAGACUUCAAUGAGAUUCCACGGUAAGUUGUGUCGUUUGGUGAUUUGUUUGGUGUUCUUAGCCUUCUGUUGUGUUGCAGAUGGUUAGAGGUGGAGCUGUCGGUCGUGGUCGUGGUCGUGGUCGUGGGCGUGGUCGCGGUAGGGGGCGUGGUGUUGCCUCGCGUAGCGACACGAGUGUGGGCCGGAAUGCUACGGCCGAUUUUGUUAGUGAGUCCCAGUCGCAUCAGGACGGGCCCGUGGGUGGUGAGAGUGUGAGUGCCGUGGGAGCCGGUUCGUCCGGGAUCGGUACUAGUGUUGUUGGAAACCCGGUUGGGGGUGUUCCAACAGGUGCAGCCCAGGGUCAGAAUGAUCGGCUUGCGGAUUUACUGACGCAGCUCUUGGAGCGGUUACCGGGUGUGGUACCGCCGGUGCAGGCUCCUGUUGGACCUGAGUUGCAGGCUCAUGUUGGGCCUGAGUUGCAGGCUCCUGUUGGGCCUGAGGUGCAGGUUCCUCUUGGGCCUGGUGUGCAGCCUGUUUUUGGGGUUGUACCGCAUGAGGGGGUAGGUGCGGUGGUCGAGCAGCCGUACUACCUGCGGAUGUUGGAGCAGCUGCAACGGUUCGGGAUGGCCUUGUUCUUCGGAGGUUCCGACCCGGCUGUAGCGGAUGAGUGGCGGGUGCGAUUGGAGCGGUAUUUCCAGUCGAUGAGGUGCCCAGAGGCGUAUCGGGUGGACCUAGCGGCCCACUACUUGGCGGGUGAUGCACAUUUGUGGUGGCAGAGUGUGCUGGCCAAGAGGGGGCAGGGAUUGUCGGUGUGGGGAGAUUUCUUGGCAGAGUUUAAUGCCAAGUAUUUUCCGGCGGAGGCAUUAGACCGGAUGGAGUCGCAGUUCCUGGCGUUGACUCAGGGCGAGCGGUCGGUGCGGGAGUACGACUCGGAGUUCAGCCGACUCUUGGUGUACUCGGGGUGUGCGGGAGAUCCUGAGCAGAUGCAGGUGCGUCGGUUCAUGAAGGGUCUGAGCCCUGACAUGAGGGUACGGUGCAAGGUGCGGGCAUAUGCAUCGCGUGUGGAGCUGGUUGAGGUGGCGGCGGGGAUCGAGGACGAGUUGAGGAGUCACGGGGUGAUUCCUAGUCCGUCGACGCAGCCGAAGAAGACCCAGCCGCAGUCGGUUCCGAGCAGGGGUGGCAAACCUGCUCAGGGACAGAAGAGGAAGUGGGAUGACACUUCCAUGGUGAGUCAGGGUAAUCGGAUGUGCUUCAGGUGUGGGAGCACGGAUCAUAGGGUGGCGAGCUGCCCGAAGAAGGGCGAGCCGUGGGUGGAUACCCGUGUCUGUUAUCACUGCAGAGAGACGGGGCACAUCAAGACGAGGUGUCCUAAGUUGCAGCAGAUGGCGGUAGCAGCGGUGCAGCCGGUGAUGCAGCCAGUGGUGCAGCAGUGGGUGCAGCCAGGAUUGCAGCCGGCAGGGCAGUCGUUGGCUCAGCUGGGAGCACCGCCGGUGGCACAGAUCGAGGGAUCGAGGGGGUAUACGACCGUGGAGACAGGAGAGCCAAGCACUGGACGGCCGAUCACAGGUUUAAUUCUAAGACUCACUCGAUUUCCUUUCGUUGUUUUAGAAUUUGUGUUGUUUUCCUGUGAUUUUGGGGUGGGCGGUCUUAGUGAAAAGGGUUUGUUUAGGGACCCUGUUGGUGGGCGGGUUCUUGUCCCACGUGAUGUUUGAUUCUGGAGCUACGAAUAGCUUCAUUACCCAAGAGUGCGCGACGGGUGGUAACAUCCGAAGAGAUCCCGAUGGUUGUUAUGGAGCCGUUAGAGUCGCAGGAGGCGGUUUGCUAGCGGUUCAGGGGCGGGCUAAUGGUGUGGAUGUACAGAUUGCGGGAGAGUCGAUGCCAGCAGAUCUGUACAUUAGUCCGGUGGAGUUGUAUGAUUUAAUUCUGGGCAUGGAUUGGUUGGACCGGCACAGAGUUCAUCUAGAUUGUCACCGGGGGAGAUUAUACUUCGAGCGUCCCGGACCGAAGAUGUAUUUCCAGGGUGUGAGACCGAUUUCGGGGAGUUUAGUGAUUUCGGCGAUUCAGACGGAUAGGAUGAUCCGAAAGGGGCGGGAAGCUUAUUUGGCUACGAUUGUCAUGCCAGAGACGGUCGAUGAGUUAGCAGUGGAUAAGAUCCGGGUGGUCCAAGAGUUCGAGGAUGUGUUUCAGUCGUUAAAGGGGUUACCACCAUCUCGGUCUUAUCCCUUCACGAUUGAGUUGGAGCUCGGGACAACGCCGUUGUCUAAGGCUCCGUACCGGAUGGCUCCAGCAGAGAUGGCUGAGCUGAAGAAACAGUUAGAGGAUCUGCUGGGCAAGGGUUUCAUCCGUCCUAGUGUUUCACCGUGGGGAGCACCGGUGUUAUUCGUUAAGAAGAAGGAUGGGAGUUUCCGGCUGUGUAUCGAUUACAGGGGACUUAACCGAGUCACGGUGAAGAACAAGUAUCCUUUGCCGCGGAUUGACGAGUUGUUGGACCAGUUGAGGGGAGCUACGUGGUUCUCUAAGAUUGAUUUGGCGUCGGGUUACCAUCAGCUUCCUAUCGACGAGGCGGAUAUCCGUAAAACGGCGUUCAGGACGAGGUAUGGGCAUUAUGAGUUCGUGGUGAUGCCUUUCGGGUUGACUAAUGCACCAGCGGCGUUCAUGAGGCUGAUGAACAGCGUGUUCCAGGCGUUUCUGGAUGAGUUUGUUAUCAUCUUCAUUGAUGAUAUCCUGGUGUAUUCUAAGAGUCUUGAGUAGCACGAGGUACACUUGCGGGCAGUGUUGGAGAAGCUGCGGGAGCAGAAGCUGUAUGCUAAGCUGAGCAAGUGCAGUUUCUGGAAGAGAAAGAUGGGUUUUCUGGGUCAUAUCGUGUCUGCAGAGGGAGUUUCUGUGGAUCCAGAGAAGAUUGAGGCUAUCAGAGAUUGGCCUAGACCGCAGAAUGCCACAGAGAUACGGAGUUUUCUAGGAUUGGCGGGUUACUACAGACGGUUUGUGAAGGGCUUUGCCAGUACAGCUCAGGCAAUGACCAAGCUGACGGGGAAGGAUGUUCCUUUUGUGUGGACUCCUGAGUGUGAGUAGGGUUUCGCUCAACUCAAGGAGAUGUUGACGAGUACGCCGAUUUUGGCUUUACCGGAGCAGGGAGAGCCGUAUGUGGUGUACACGGACGCUUCGGGAGUUGGUUUGGGUUGUGUGUUGAUGCAGCAGGGUAAGGUGAUCGCCUAUGUUUCGCGGCAGUUGCGGAAGCAUGAGGGCAACUACCCUACUCAUGAUUUGGAGAUGGCAGCGGUGGUCUUUGCUCUGAAGAUUUGGAGAUCUUAUCUGUAUGGAGCGAAGAUUCAGGUGUUUACAGAUCAUAAGAGUCUGAAGUAUAUAUUCACGCAGCCUGAGUUGAACUUGAGGCAGAGGCGCUGGAUGGAGUUGGUUGCAGACUAUGAUCUGGAGAUAGCUUACCAUCCCGGUAAGGCUAAUCUGGUUGCAGAUGCUCUGAGCCGAAAGCGAGCGGCUUCAGCUCGAGGGCAGGAUAUGGAGACCUUGGUGGGAGAACUUAGCACCUUGCGGUUGUGUGCUAUUUCUCAGGAGCCACUAGGGUUAGAAGCAGCUAACCGAGCAGACCUUCUGACCAGGGUUCGAGCGGCUCAGGAGAAGGAUGCAGGGCUGGUUAAUGCUUCUAAGGAUACUGAAUCAGAGUAUCAGGUUGCAGCCAAUGGGACUAUCCUUGUGCAUGGGCGAGUUUGUGUGCCCAAGGAUGAGGAGUUGAGACGAGAGAUCUUGAGUGAGGCUCAUGCGAGUAGGUUCUCUAUUCAUCCAGGAGCGACCAAGAUGUACCGAGAUCUGAAGAGGUAUUAUCUUUGGGUCGGGAUGAAGAGAGACGUAGCUAAAUGGGUCUCUGAGUGCGAUGUAUGUCAGCUAGUGAAGGCUGAGCGUCAGGUGCCGAGUGGAUUAUUGCGGAGUCUCCCUAUCCCAGAGUGGAAAUGGGACAUGAUCACGAUGGAUUUCGUGGUAGGGUUGCCAGUGUCUCGGUUCAAGGAUGCCAUUUGGGUCAUUGUGGACCGUUUGACUAAGUCUGCACAUUUCUUGGCUAUCAAGAAAACCGAUGGAGCGGUAGUGCUAGUUAAGAAGUAUGUGCAGGAGAUUGUGAGACUUCAUGGAGUACCGGCCAGUAUUGUGUCAGACCGGGAUUCGAAGUUCACUUCGGCGUUCUGGAAGGCUUUACAGAAGGAGAUGGAUACUAAGGUGCAUUUGAGCACGGCUUACCACCCUCAGACAAACGGGCAGUCUGAGCGGACCAUUCAAACACUUGAGGAUUUGUUGAGGAUGUGUGUGUUAGACUGGGGUGGUCAGUGGGCAGAUCACUUGAGCUUGGUGGAGUUUGCUUAUAAUAAUAGCUACCAGGCGAGUAUUGGGAUGGCUCCUUAUGAGGCGUUGUAUGGGAGGCCAUGUCGGACACCUCUAUGCUGGACUCAAGUGGGGGAGAGGAGUAUUUAUGGUGCGGAUUUUGUUCGGGAGACUUCAGAGAAGAUUCGGGUUCUGAAGCUGAACAUGAGAGAGGCGCAGGAUAGGCAAAAGUGUUAUGCUGAUAAGAGGCGUAAGGAGUUGGAGUUUGAGGUUGGAGAUAUGGUGUAUCUCAAGAUGGCGAUGUUGUGUGGUCCUAACAGGUCCCUUACCGAGACUAAGCUGAGUCCGAGGUUUAUGGGUCCUUUCAGGAUUGUGGACCGGGUUGGACCGGUGGCUUAUCGGUUGGAGUUACCUGAGGUAAUGCAUGCAUUUCAUAAGGUAUUCCACGUGUCGAUGCUGAGGAAGUGUCUUCACAAGGAUGAUGAGGUGUUAGCUACGAUCCCGGCAGAUCUUCAGCCUACCAUGACCUUGGAGGCGAGGCCAGUGAGGGUUCUCGAGAGGCGGGUAAAGGAACUUCGACGUAAGAAGAUUCCUUUGAUGAGAGUCCAGUGGGACUGUGAUGGAGUCUUGGAGGAGACUUGGGAGCCAGUGGCCAGGAUGAAGGCAAGGUUCCGGAAGUGGUUUGACAAGCAGGUCGAGGAGUAGACCGUUGGCUUGUUUUGUUUUGACUUUUGUUUUGGUUGUAUCUCUUUUGUAUAUUCAUUUUUGGUGUAAUGAUUAUGACAUUAGAGAUUAAUAAGAUGAGUAUUUCUUGGAUUUGACUUGUUGUGUCAUGUGUAAGAGAAAUAUGUGCGAGUUUCUAAAAAUAGAAAGUGUCGGGUUUGACGGUUCUAUUUUUGGAAAGUCUCGGGGUGGUGGUUAGUAUAGCAUUGCGAUGCUAUAAGUGGACCACGGGAGGUAUAUCUGAUCGAGAGUUAUGCUCGGGGGCGUUUAGACUUAUUUGCUCGGAUAUGAUGUGAUAGCCUCGGAUGACGAUUCGAGUGCACGCUUGAGGGUGACGACCCGAGAGCGAGCGUGAGACUUCCCGGAUACCGUAGCUAGAAGGCGGGUGGCCUAAUAGUGAGCCGGUAUGACUUGAGGGUUGCGACCUGAGAGCGGGGGGGAGUGGUGAGACUUCCUGGAUACCGUAGUCUAAGGCAGAGGCCUGAGGACGAGCCGGUAUGAUUCAUGGGUUGAGACCUGUGGACGGGGGAAGUGGGUGAGUAUGAGCAAAUAGGGUCUAGAACGUGAGUANNNNNNNNNNNNNNNNNNNNNNNNNNNNNNNNNNNNNNNNNNNNNNNNNNNNNNNNNNNNNNNNNNNNNNNNNNNNNNNNNNNNNNNNNNNNNNNNNNNNAGAGGUCAGUGGUGUACUGACGGACAUGUUGAAGGAUUCGAGGACGAAUCCAUGUUAGUGGGGGAGAAUUGUAACGCCCGUGUUCUGAAAAUUAAUAGGAGACUUGAAUGUGUAUAAGAAUUAGAGUGGAGCCGGUUUAAUUCCGGUUGAUUUCCUAAACUGGUUGAUUUGUUUAAUUGAACCAAAAGAGGUUUAAUUAAAAUCGGUUUAGGUAAAUUCUGGUUUAAUCAGAAUUAAACCAAAAACCCUAGUUUUAUAAAGAACGCUUCUUCUCUCUUUUGUUUUGUGGCUGUUGUUUCUGAGAGUGGAGUUGAGAAAAGGAGAAGGAGAAGUUUACUUGUGAAAAGGAGAGUGUUAGCUUUGCUUUGGUGUUUAAGGCAAGAGAAGCAGAUCCGUCACGUUCUGAUAGAAUAGAGUUACGACGUAUCAAAUCUUAUCGAAAGGUAAUGAAUUUUGGUAGGUUUGUUCUUAAGGCGUGUACGUUGAUUCUCCUUUUUACAGAAGUAAACUUCUCCUUCUCCUUUUCUCAACUCCACUCUCAGAAACAACAGCCACAAUACAAAAGAGAGAAGAAGCGUUCUUUAUAAAACUAGGGUUUUUGGUUUAAUUCUGAUUAAACCAGAAUUUACCUAAACCGAUUUUAAUUAAACCUCUUUUGGUUCAAUUAAACAAAUCAACCAGUUUAGGAAAUCAACCGGAAUUAAACCGGCUCCACCCUAAUUCUUAUACACAUUCAAGUCUCCUAUUAAUUUUCAGAACACGGGCGUUACAAAAGGCAACAUAACACAAAAAAACAAGCACACAAGCAAAGGAAUCAAUCAUCUAUCAUGAAAUCACCCAAACACGGAUCAAAACUGUUUAGAUAAGCUUGACACUCACCUUGAUAUGGAAUGAACAAUGACAAAAAUAACACAAUCAGAGGCAUCACAAGACUCUCCUAACACCACAGCCAUGAAAUCUCCCUUCUCUUUUGCUAAACUCUCAAGAAAAAGACCCAAACCUCACUAGAACUCAAACCUCACAGAAAAUUUAUAGAAGCUUGUCACUCUCUCAAAGAAGGAAAAAGCAGCUAAACAUACAUAAUUUUUACAAAUUACAUGC
rnacentral:lncRNA from 1 species